UGUGCAGUUCCCAGAGCAGAUCCCUAAGUGAUCCCCGUGAACCAAAGGAGAUGACUGUGAAAAUGAUGCCUGCUGUCACACAGGGAGCAAGAGGGACAGACAGACUGUCACAUGCAGACCCUGCUUCUGGAGGGAGUUUGGGGGCUCAGUCAGAAGCAGGUGAAGAGUUUGGAGCUGGUUUUGCAGAGCAGGUGGAGAUUGCCAGCCUUUUUAAAAGUAGUAAUGUCUCAUCAGCCAAGGAACUGCAGAACUGGGUAGGAGGCACCAGAAAAACAUGGAAGCACCACAUUUUCCCCAGUCACUCAGUAGACAUCAUUUCCAACUGCUCAGUGCUGAAAGGUGCUAUCUUCAGAGUGAGCUGCUGACCUUCACAUCCAUUCAGGAGAGAUUACUGCCGGUUUUGAAUAACUAAAUAAAAGUAGUGAUUUCCACUCA
rnacentral:lncRNA from 1 species